AGUGAACGCUGGCGGUAGGCCUAACACAUGCAAGUCGAACGGCAGCACAGAGGAGCUUGCUCCUUGGGUGGCGAGUGGCGGACGGGUGAGGAAUACAUCGGAAUCUACUCUGUCGUGGGGGAUAACGUAGGGAAACUUAUGCUAAUACCGCAUACGACCUACGGGUGAAAGCAGGGGACCUUCGGGCCUUGCGCGAUUGAAUGAGCCGAUGUCGGAUUAGCUAGUUGGCGGGGUAAAGGCCAACCAAGGCGACGAUCCGUAGCUGGUCUGAGAGGAUGAUCAGCCACACCGGAACUGAGACACGGUCCAGACUCCUACGGGAGGCAGCAGUGGGGAAUAUUGGACAAUGGGCGCAAGCCUGAUCCAGCCAUACCGCGUGGGUGAAGAAGGCCUUCGGGUUGUAAAGCCCUUUUGUUGGGAAAGAAAUCCAGCUGGCUAAUACCCGGUUGGGAUGACGGUACCCAAAGAAUAAGCACCGGCUAACUUCGUGCCAGCAGCCGCCGUAA
rnacentral:rRNA from 1 species